rnacentral:tRNA from 1 species
CUCCAGUUAGCCUAGCGGUAAAGGCUAAGGAUCGCCAAUCCGGAGACGGCGGGUUCGAUUCCCGUUCUGGUCG